ensembl:lncRNA
AGUGGCUCCAUACGUUUGCUUCAUGAGCUACAGCGCAUGUGUCGAAGCUUCCGGUAUCAGAGGACCAUCACUAUCUGGUAGCGUCUCUGGCUGCUGUUGACCUUGUUUUUGGUGUAAAACACGGUGGAAGCUGAAUUAGUGAGGAUGACUCCUGCUCCUGUCAUCUCUAAGCUCCUCACACAUCUUUACCUGCACAUGAGGAAAAUCACUCCUGUAGAAUGCAGAUGUUCAGAGGGAGAUGAUGCCACAUCUGGUCCAGCUGAUGGAAGGUCUUGAAGUUCUCUGACUGGCCUCGACUGAAGAUAGUCGUCUCACUGGAUUUAAGGUUCAGAUGCUCAGUAACAAACUCCACCAAUGAGCCAACAGGGAAGCUUUAGGUUUAUUAAAUGUUGCUAUGAAAGUUUCGCUGUUUUUCUUUGUGAAUGCAAUGUGCUCCAACUGAAACUUGAAUUAGAACUUAGAAGUAAAUCCUUCCAUCUGAAAGGAUUUAGUUGCAUUAAUAACCUCAUAACAUUCUAAUUUUUAUUCCAGUCUUAGUUGGAAAUAGAAUCUCUGUAUUGAUUCAGGUAAAAACUGAACUUCACAGCAUGUUGAAGCAAAACAACCAGAUGAAAACUGUGAUGGUGUUGGAUUGUCAGACCGUAUUGUUGCAGCUCAAAGCAGCUUUUCUAUCUCAGUUCAUUCUGACAUUCAGCUAUGAAUCAACACAGCAGAUGGUGAUCCAUGCUGUGGAAGUCUCACAUCUCCUGAUUUAAUGGAGCUGCUUUGCACUUUUUACACUGUUUAUUCACCAACACUUUAUUUAAUAAAAGUCCCAUCUAGUUUUUAUGAGGAAUGUGAUGUUUUAAUUUCUCUGUGAAUAACUGCAGUCUAAUGCAACAGCUGGAGUUGUAACAUCUGUCCUGAUAUUGAUCAUGAAGUAUUGAUCAGAAUACUUAUGGUUAGCAGUCAUCCCUGAAGUUUUACAUUAAAAUCUUUACUUGUGUUGUGAACUUUGGUAAGAAGCAGAAACGUUAGCGUUGCCAUGGAUACAUGAGUGUUAAAUUCUGUCCAUGUUUCCAUUUUGGGAAAUUCAGUCCAGUUCCAGAAUGUGGAGGAAUUUAGUCUCACAAUCACAGACAAUAAAUAUUAUCUGAAAGUCGGGUUAUUGUUGUUUAUCAGCACAAUAUAAAAAGAUUAAUGGUAGAAAUAUUCCAGUUAAGACUCUAGAAUAUCAUGAUUUAUGUAAAUUUACUUCAAUAAUAUGAAUGUUCAGGUUAAGAUUGUACAGUGAUAUUUAUUAUGUAAGUUUAGCUGAUUAAAGUUUAUGACUCUGCACUAAAACAUUAUUUAAAUUGACAUCAUUAUUAUAAUAUUUAGGGUCAGACCCUACAGUAUUGAGAUUAAGAAAUCAAAUAUUGUAUAAAAUGUAAAUACACUGAACUCAUUUGGAUAUAUUUAAGUGAGACUCUACAAUAGUAUUUGACACAAAUCUAUCUAAAUCAAAAUUUUAAUAAUUUUCACGCCAAACAUUUACUGGACUGAUUUAAACAUUAAAAUCACCCCUUUCUAAUCCUCUGCUGUACGUUCAAACCUGAGGCCUUAAAUAGAAACACACAAGUAUCUGAUUGAAGGAACUUCUGCAGAGUCCUGGUUCCAGAACAUGAUGAUAGAAUUAUAGACAAACUUUAACAAAAGCUGCCUGAGAGUUUACAGGUUUUUAUGUUGGAUUUCUUCAGUAAUUUAAUGAGAGUUAUCAGCAAUAAUCAAGUGUUCAUUUGAUGAACUUCAUUUCCUAAAACAUCCAGAAUUGGAGCUCAUAUCUUUGGCAGCUGUAAAGUUUCUGCUCCUUCAAAGUUCACAACACAAUGAAUGAAUUCCUAAAACACUCUCAAUGCUGGAGAGCGUUUGUGAUGCUGAAGCAGUGACCAGUUUUUCUGUUUCUUCUCUGGAGAUGCACAAUGAGGGACGUCUGCAGAGACUGAGAAAGAGUCUCACCACAUCCUGACAUGAGGAAAAAGACUUUAUUGAAGACUACAAUGAGAAAAACUAUCAGACAGCAGACAGCUGCAUUCAAGGCUACAGGAGGAGCCCUACGAGUACGAGCCGGUCCACCUGAUGGCGGCCAGUCGCUGUGGUUCAAAGCCAACACCGACUACGUGGACUUCUACUGGACCACACGGAGGCCUUCAAACCGGACCAACAAGUUCACCGACUCCCCGACUCGUGGGUCUGAGGACGCCGCCGAGCCUCGGUCCAGCCGGCCUCCUGUCUGUGGGUGUUUGAGUGCUGAGAGACCUGACUGUGAACACCGUUGACACCCACCUCAGGGAGACGCUGCCUAAGAUGUAAAGGCUGCUUGGUCGUGGUCUUUCUGGUCCUGCUCCAGAACGCCUUCAUCAACUACAUCUUCUUUUGAAGAGGUCCUCAGAUGCUGCAAUCUCUGACCUUAAGGAGGAACUGCUGCUUUCACUCUGUAACGAGAUGGCAGUUAUUUUAAAGACCCAGCUCCUGGCGGCUUUGAGUGAAAGUUUAACACCCAUCAAAACGGAACUGCAGACAGUUAAAUCUGAGCUGUAGGUCAGUAUUUCAAACAUCAAGUCCAACCUGGCUGCCCUAAAGCACGCUGUGGGUGAAAUGGAAACUUCACUCUCCACAUCACCGACGACAUCGUCACACUCCAAAGCAGAGCACCUGUCUGCUGAACUUUUAAAAGUGGACUAUAAAUGUGAAGAAUGUGAGCAGCAGCAGACUGUGAGCAGCGGAACAGAUGUGAUCAGAAAGAAGUCAUUUUCUUUUUUCUUUUCUUUCUGGUUGACUUGAUGUUGUCAGAUGCACAUGUUGGAGCUGAUUCUGAUAUUUCAGGAUAAAAAGCUGCUUUUCCUUCACAGACUUUUCAGGAAAUUAUUCUCUCAGGUUUUCUCUGCUAUUUAUAUUUUAUUAUCUGUGAUUAUUUCAUUAUUUCUUUUUUGUAAAAAUAAAG